UACAAGGACAGUUUUAAAUGCACAUGGAAGAGCUUUUAACUCAGAUGUGGAAUCACCAAAAUGACACAAAUCGUAUUUCCUAACUCGUCUAUUCAUCUCUAGUUCAUCGCUACCAGAACAAUGGAAAUGCUGCAUGGAACUGUUCUUAUUUCACUUCUUGAUAUACAGGCUUUUGACCAACAUUCUCCGCCUUCAUCUGACUGAUGAGCAGGUUGUGGAGUGCCUACAGUGGCCAGGCGUGUCCAAAUGCUCUGUAUGCUUGAACUCAUUGGAUCGUCUUGACAACCCCACAUGGCAGUCUCCUCUUUCUCGAAGUGACUCAAAGGUGUUCCCCACCCGCUGCUUGGAAAAGCAUUGCCCGGCAGGUUCACCGGGUCAGAGGAAAAGCCCUUGGCAUCCGGAACACGGAACACCGGCCUGCAGACGUCAGCAGGAAGCAAGGACGGCCAGGAGGAGGGAAGUGACAACUCCCUGUCGGGCGUGGCGCUUGCGUUGGCAGGCAAAAGAGACCCCCAAAAUGUCAGACACUGCUGGAUCUUGAAGGGAAGGUCAGUAAAAAAAACAAUAAGCCGUUUUCUCCUUUUGUUUUCUGUUAUCUUGUGUUAACUGUUUCUUCAUAGUUAUCUGUUAAUGUUGUUUUAAGUCUCCAGCAAAGAUUCAGACACUAUGAUGAUACAGUUAUGUUUAUAAAAUACGGGGGACCUGCUCUCGUCCUGGCUUGCUGAUUUCCAGGUUUCUUCUGGCUUUCACACAGAAGAGCUGGGGUGUUGAAUGCCCAGCAGUUGGAGGUUGACCCCUGGCUGGCUGACCCCCAUCCCUGAGUUCCUCUCCACCAGCCACCAGUCAGGUUGGAAGCAUCACUUGGCAGUAUGGCCACCGCGGACCAUUCCUCUCAAGUUGUUGUGGGUUGCCGUGGAAACAAAGAGGUCUUAAUGUUAAAAGUAAUUUGGUCCUUAAUGGAGACGGUCUCUCACUAAAGGAAAGUUAACUUGGGAACCAUUCGAGUCAUGCCCAGUCACUGGCCCCACUGCGCACCCCCGUCCCACUUUCUUCUGCUUGCCUAGAGGUCUUAAUUUUGAUGAUGUAUGAGGUGUCAGCCAGAAGAUCUUGUGCUCUGCGAAGCACUAUAAAAAGGCAGAUGUAUGACUGUGUCAUCCACAAAUACCCUAGGAAGGUGAGUGUUAAACCAAUGUUAAUAAUAAAUGUUUUCUUCCGAAGUAAGUUACGGCAGUAUCACCAGAGCCCUUUAAAAUGUAACGAACCAAUGAAAUCUCAGGGAGCUGAGGGACACCUAACCCUGCCAUCGUCCCUGUAGUACAGUCAGGAAAGUUAUGAAGGGCCAUCCCAUCUGGUCUGCGUCUGCCUGAAACCCUUGGAUGGAAAGAGGAACAGUCCCUCCAAACAUCUGAGCUUGAUCUCUGCAACUGAGAAAUCUUGAGACCAGAAAGCCCCAGGGAAUGCAGAAAUGCCUCUUUAAAGGUCGUUUUGAGGAAACAUGGCCACUGACCCAUCACACUGACUCAGCCUCCCUGCCCCCACCAUUUUGCUAACGGGCUCCGUUGAUUUAAAUGGAAGGAAGCGAAGAAACACUCUCUGAGCUAGGUCCUGCCUGACCUCCCAUUGCGGGCUGCUGCCUUGAUCAUACAGCAAGUACUGGUCUUGACUCCUGGCUCCCGCGGGGGCUUGUCUGAAGAUAGUCCCCAGGUGGGGAGCCUGGAAGAAGAACUGCGUGCUUGUGUGCAUAAUUUGAAGCUUACUUUGCAGGGACCCAUAGUUGUGCUGUCUUUGCUCAGGAAAAUUCUAAGCUGAAAUUCUGUAUUCCAGCCCCUGUGGAUAUAAAGUCCUAACUGUUCCUCAUCUUCUCCUGUUCUUCAGCCAAUCGUCAGAUUGGUGGUUGUUGCUAUUGUUGUUUUCUCCUAGGAGGUCCUUCCUGGUUUAAGCAAAAGAGUCAGCAUCAUUGAGAAGAUGAGUCAAAAUGCUCCAGUGUCAAGCUGGGUUCCCCAGAAGCAGACCCUGAGGGAAGAUUAUAGAGAAAGUGACUCAUUAGGAAGUGUUCCGUAGGGUGGGGAAACAGGACUGGGAAGGGAAGGAGGACGUGUUGUCAAGCCACAUCCCUGGGAGGGUAAUGCUGGCAUAGUCCCUCAGGGGCACGGUGUAGGUGACACCUAAGCGUCCCCAUUGGGGAUGAGGGAGUUGGAGAGUUUAUAGCCCUCUCAUCGGUUAAGGGCUGCAGGGGCAGGACAUACAGGGAACGCAGCCAAGGCAGUUCCAGGUGCCCGUGGUCCAUCCUCUGACACAGAUGCAGGUGCUGCUGGGAUUGGAAGCCUCAGGAGAGACCUCAUGCUCAGAAAUGCUAAGCAAUCUGAGAUGUUGACAUAGGACCGACAGUCACUGCCACACACCCCACAUACAGGAAAAUAAAACAAAGAAGGGAACUCAAAGUUUACUUCCAGGUUCAUUGACU